UACGGAGGGGACUAGCGUUGUUCGGAAUUACUGGGCGUAAAGCGCACGUAGGCGGAUUUGUAAGUCAGGGGUGAAAUCCCGGGGCUCAACCUCGGAACUGCCUUUGAUACUGCAAAUCUCGAGUCCGGAAGAGGUGAGUGGAAUUCCUAGUGUAGAGGUGAAAUUCGUAGAUAUUAGGAAGAACACCAGUGGCGAAGGCGGCUCACUGGUCCGGUACUGACGCUGAGGUGGCGAAAAGCGUGGGGAGCAACAGG
rnacentral:rRNA from 1 species